CAGAGGGGGCAAGCGUUGUUCGGAAUUACUGGGCGUAAAGGGCGCGUAGGCGGCCUGCUAAGUCGAACGUGAAAUCCCUGGGCUCAACCCAGGAACUGCGUCCGAUACUGGUUGGCUUGAAUCCGGGAGAGGGACGUGGAACUCCAGGUGUAGCGGUGAAAUGCGUAGAUAUCUGGAGGAACACCGGUGGCGAAGGCGACGUCCUGGACCGGCAUUGACGCUGAGGCGCGAAAGCCAGGGGAGCAAACGGGAUUAGAUACCCCGGUAGUCCUGGCCCUAAACGAUGAAUGCUUGGUGUGGUGGGUAUCGAUCCCUACCGUGCCGAAGCUAACGCAUUAAGCAUUCCGCCUGGGGAGUACGGUCGCAAGGCUG
rnacentral:rRNA from 1 species